rnacentral:misc_RNA from 1 species
GAAAUGCGAUAAGUAGUGUGAAUUGCAGAAUUCAGUGAAUCAUCGAAUCUUUGAACGCACAUUGCGCCCCUUGGUAUUCCAUGGGGCAUGCCUGUUCGAGCGUCAUUUGUACCCUCAAGCUCUGCUUGGUGUUGGGUGUUUGUCCCCGUCUCCGCGCGUGGACUCGCCCCAAAGUGAUUGGCAGCCGGCGUACUGGUCCCGGAGCGCAGCACAUGUCGCGCGAACGAGUGCCUUGGUACGGCGGCGUCCAUAAGCCCCUCUCUCACGCUCUUGACCUCGGAUCAGGUAGGGAUACCCGCUGAACUUAAGC